rnacentral:lncRNA from 1 species
CACCGCCCUUUCGCAGACAGAGAACUGCCCAUGAGUCUCACCCCGGAUAUCCCUUUCUGGCCAUCUCAUAUCAGUUUCGAGCUGCUGGGAAGAACGUCCACCUCUCACGGUGUUCUCUCUGGUGGGCAUCAUGCGGUGUGAGCGUGCGACCCACGUGCGCUUCAGGUGCAACUUCAAGCCGCACCAUUCCAUUAUUUGAUGCACCCUGAGCUUGACCGAGGUCUGGACAAGUCUAUAUAAUCUCAAAGAAAGAAAAAAAUUCCAUUCAGAGGGAAGCUAAUAAGGCAGAAGUGGAAGAUUGGAAGGGGGAAGUGAUAUGAGGGAGGAAACUAAGGACAGUAGGGUACCACAUUCAGACUAAAACCAAACUGAAGACACAGAGCCAAGCACAAGAAAACAUCAAGGUACCAAGUUUGGGGUCAUGGUAUCCCUUUGUGGGGAGGAACAAAGCAGGACUGGGAGGAGGAGUUCCAGGAGUUCCAAGCAGUGGGUGGGAGAAGGAAACACAAGUGCUGAAACUCCAACAUCUCAACCCCUUGCCAAUAAUCCAAGAUUCCAGAGGAGGUUCACGACCCGGCUGGAAAUUGUGUUUGCUGCAACGAAGCCUUUGCUCUCAGUCAAGGACUCCAUAUCACUGCACAAAGAUGGAGACAUCAUGGACACCUGCUCACUUCCAGAAAACCCAAGGAUACUUCGAAAACUGGCAGAGUGUCGGCGAGGCAAAUUUGCAGACAUUUCGUCACAAAUGCCAGUCAUUGCAACUACAAAGGCAACAGCAGUUGCCUGGGAAAACUGUGCGAGUGAAUACAACAGGCCAAAUCCUCCCAGUGGCAGCAAAAGACUUCCAUUUGCGGGAAGGAUAAUGGAUGUUUUGCCUUCCCCUGCAUUUCACAGGAAGAAUGUGAACCUUGACAGAGAGCUCGAAAAGAACUGUCGUCACACAAGCAGCAACAGACAGACAGCUUAUCAGAAGAAUGUGCAGCCCUUCAACACAGCUGCACAAUAUAGCAGCAGAUCAAGUGUCCUGUCAACAAACGAGCUGGAUGUCACAUCAAGUCAGAAAGAGGUUGGACCAGAAAUGAACUCAAAACCUGCUGGAGAACUUUUCAACGAAACAGGUAGGAGGCCGGAGAGCCUCCAAAACAAGUCCAGAAAAAGUUUUAGACCUGAUCAGAAUAUCCUUCCAGGAGCAUAUCUUGGUCGGCAAAGACAACAAUGGCGAAGGACUGAUAAAGACCAAAGCUCAGGAGUGAGGAGUUUCUUGUCACAGUCCUUUUACUUAUUGAAAUCAACCACGUUGGGAUUUGACAUUAGGAGGAGCAAAAAGACACAGAAAGAGGAAGAAGUUUCACAGGAAAGUAACGAGAAUGUGGGAGUUAAUGUGUUGCUAACUGAAGCAAAAACAGCACAGGCCAUUCAGCUUCCCACGUCACAAUCGGCAAUCAAAAUGUCUGCGUCAAAUGUGAACUCAAAUGAUGAACACAUCCAAACAUUUUCUCUCCACACAAGAUCAAUAAGAAGUGACACAACCAACAGCAAUGCUGGAAUAGAAUGGCAAGCAGAACAACUGGCUCAAUCAUCUCAUAGUCCGACAAACAAGGUUUUGGGCACCAGCCCGGAAAACAAAGUGAGCCCAACAAUUUUUCAGCCAAAACGAAAAAUCUCCAGUUGUGGUACGACACGAGAGUACCCUCUGCAUACAGGUUUGACCGUUUUCAAUGCACAGCCAUUUUCCAACAAUGCGUAUAAGCCAUGUAGUUCCCCGGUACAAAAACCGGGAAGUCCAAACUAUAUGUGGUUUGGCGGCUCACCAGCACAAAAACCAAAAAGUCCAAACUACACAAGCUUUGGCGGCUCCCCAGUACAAAAACCGGUGAGUCCAAAUUACAAGGGGUUCAGUGGCUCUCCGGUACAAAAACCAGAAAGUCCAAACUGCACGGGUUUUGGCGGCUCCCCAGUACAAAAACCGGUGAGUCCAAACUACACAGGAUUCGGCGACUCCCUGGUACAAAAACCAGAAAGUCCAAACCACACAGAUUUAGGCGGCUCCCCAGUACAAAAACCGGUGAGUCCAAAUUACACGGGGUUCAUUGGCUCCCCAGUAGAAAAACCGGUGAGUCCAAACUACACGGGGUUCAGUGGCUCCCCGGUACAAAAACCAAAAAGUCCAAACUACACAGGAUUUGGUGACUCUCCGGUACAAAAACCAGAAAGUCCAAACUGCACGGGUUUAGGCGGCUCCCCAGUAAAAAAACCGGUGAGUCCAAACUACACAGGAUUCGGCGACUCCCUGGUACGAAAACCAAAAAGUCCAAACUACACGGGUUUAGGCGGCUCCCCAGUACAAAAACCGGUGAGUCCAAACUACAUGGGGUUCAGCAACUCCCCGGUACAAAAACCAAAAAGUCCAAACUACACAGGCUUCGGCGACUCCCCAAUACAAAAACCAGAAAGCCCAAACUACACAGGUUUAGGUGGCUCCCCAGUAAAAAAACCGACGAGUCCAAACUACACGGGAUUCAGCGGCUUCCCGGUACAAAAACCAGGAAAUCAAAACUACACAGUGCUUGACACAUCCUGUUCCCAGCUACAUAAACGCUCCUCCGACGAAAAACCCACACGGUUGAAUUCACUCCCUGCCAAAGUUAACCAGGGCUCAGUAGCCGACAAGUCAAUAUUCGAGGAGUUCAAUCGACAUUCAUGGCAUGAAGCAAGAGAAUAUGUGAAAAUGCAUCAAAAUAAGAUGUGUAACACUAAAAUCCAGGAAUGGCUGGGCUGCAGUUGCAAUAAAGGUUUACAAACAAGACAAAAUAAAGAUGUGAUUUAUGAUCCGCUGAAGACAAAAAUUGCAACAGACAGAGGUGAAGGCAGAAGUGCCCAGGGCCCAUGUGCAAUUCAAUUACCAAACAGGUUGCACAUCUCUCUGCCAUCUGCUCGGCCAUUCCAAACAUUUCAACGGAGCGGCACUAUGCCACAAAAGCGCAGCCAAAUGCUGGUUUCUUACCCCACUUACAGCACACUGGCCGGCUCUCAUGCUUACAGGGAGAUGUCUCUGUACAAGGAACCUCUUAUUGACAUCAGGUCUGGCAACAAAAUGGAAUCAUUAAGGAGCAAACAAGAUGCAAUGGCUCGGUGCAAGUCUAUGGAUGCUCUUCUUGAAUUUGGGGACGACGAUUCCACCAUCAGCAAUGCAGUUGCCAAGCAUAACAAAGUCAAGAAAAUAUCUCAUGAUGGACGACACCUAUCACUGGAAAGGAAAAGCACAAGUCAUUUCUUUGUAGAACAGGUGUAUCGUACAAGUCCUCCUGGUGGCUAUUCCUCAAGGGUCCGUUCUUAUUCAGGGUCUGGACCUCAUUGUAAGUCUCCUUCCCUGGCAGAUAGUCCAGCUGCCAAACAUUCACCGGUUAAUCAUGACGUACGACUUUCUAGUGCAGACUUUCUGGCCAAAGGGUGGAUCACUCCGUUUGCAAGUGGCCAGUUGGGCUGCCAGGCUCGAUGCCAACCUUUUGGCCUGUCAGUUGAUCCGUAUACACACGUUCCUAAUCAUUCACCUCAUGAUACCUCACCCAAUCUUACAGACUGUGUUAGCAUGGCAGAUGCAGACGAUGUGUUUUAUGAAAGAGAAGACAGUGAUGGAGAUUCAAACACAACUCUGUCUGAUGAGUAUUACUUGCAUGAGAAUGUUCAGACAGCUCACAGAAAGCGAAGAGUGCAGCGACAAUCUGCCAUCAUUGAGACAGCAGUU